CUCGAGUUCGUGCUCGGGGAAAAGAUCGCCGUUGUUGCGGCGGGGCGUACGUGCGCCGGAAACUCCAUCGUGUCCUCUGUGUUCACCGUUUUUUCUUCUUCUUUUGUCGUGCGAGCGCAGUAAGAGAGAGAGGCAAGCGAGAGCUCAGGUGAGGAGGAAAGCUAGGGCUUGACAACAACAAUAGUAUCACUUCCUUUCAGGUCCUAAACUCACUUUAUGUAUAGAAACUGCGUGACUUUUUGUUGCAUGUGUUUUACAUCUUCCGUUUUAUGGUUAUUCUCUUUUAGUCAGGUUAUGCAAUGAUCCAAAGAGUGUUCUGUUUUUACCAUUCAUAUGGAAUAUAAUAGUUCAUAUCCAGUCGUGCAAUUGGUAAAGUUUCACACAACUUACAUCAUGGUUGCAUACCUAUGAUUCACGCUGAUGCAUAUAAGAAAAUGUACCAUGUAGGCUAAAUUGAUAAUAUUGUAAUCUCUAACUUAAAAUUGGUGCCCUCAUACAACGAACCUCAUCCCUUAGGGAAGUAUAUGCCAUUGUCUGCCACACUUCAAAACAAUAGAUGUGUCAGGUACUCCCUCCGUCCCAAAAUAAGUGUCGCAACUUUGUACGAGCUCUAGUAUAAAUUUAUAUUAAGCUCAAGACACUUAUUUUGGGACGGAGAGAGUAUGAUUUAUCAUUAACCUUAAGAUUUUGUUAACAUAGGUCGCAAAGUAUUAAUCUCAUGUUUUAUUUUUAAUAAUUUCCUGUCAAAUAGAUUUGUGUUUGCCGCAUUUCAGAAGUAAUUUUGAGCUUUUGUAUACUAUGUUCUUCGUCCAGUUUUUGUAUAGUCAAAGUGGAAUGUCUUCUUUGGAUAAGUUGGUGGUUAUUUUUUUAAUGAUAUAAUUAAAUUUGAUUAUAUUUUGCUUUCAUUUCUUUUGUUACACAUUACUCCCUCCGUCCUAAAAUAAGUUACUCAGGUUUGUACUAACUUUAGCUUCAUUUGUUUUACUUGCAAGGUGUCUAGAAAUCGGCCCGGUGGUUGUUCUGCUCUCUAUUACAAUUCAUCUUGAACUUUGCUAUGAUAUUUCACAUUGUGAUGUGCUAAUGGUUGAAUGGUUAGCUAAAAUUCAUUCGUUUUGUUUGAUGAUAUUGCACUAAAACAAACAAGAUUUUACUUUGUACUUCUAUUUUUCUCUCCUAGCAUAUCAAUAUGGAUUGACUGAACAAAUUAUGAUAUGGAAAUAUCCUAAGUGCAAAACAACAUGUGAC
rnacentral:lncRNA from 1 species